CACACACAAAAAAAAAUUGUAUUCGGCAGCAGCGCGAAGAUUUAUGUUCUUCUUUUUUUUUCAUGAGCAACUUUCUCGGUUAUUGAUGAUGUUUGACAACAACCUUUUCAGAACAUUGGUGGGCGAGAGAGCGUGGAUUCAACGUAGUGAAUCCUAUUAUGAGCUGAACAUGGAGUUACAUAAAUGGAAGUUGAGCAAGAACCAUGGGUUUGAUCUAUCUGUCUUUGGCAAGCAUUUCUAAUGAAGUUGGCAUGAUGUGGAUGCCAAAGAACCAUUACCAUUUGAAAUAGUCUGAAGGGCUUAAAGAGGAGGCGCGAGGAUUAACGAUGUUACUCCAUCAGCUCACUCCCGAACCAGACUGUUUAACCGAACUUAUCUCGAAAAUUGCCUUAACUCCAUCGAUUGACCGGAAGUGUUUUUGGUGGGCCAAGGCGAUAUAUUUUUUGAAAUUUUGAAUUGAAAUAUGUAUUUAGAUGUGAUAUUUUGAAUAAAAUGUAAACUAUGGAUGCAGCUUGUACAAUGAAUAAUGUGAAAAUAAAUUUGAAUUACA